UUACUGAGUUUACGCUCUAUAACCCUUUGUGAACAUACCUAUAACUGUUGCUUCGGCGGGUAGGGUCUCCGUGACCCUCCCGGCCUCCCGCCCCCGGGCGGGUCGGCGCCCGCCGGAGGAUAACCAAACUCUGAUUUAACGACGUUUCUUCUGAGUGGUACAAGCAAAUAAUCAAAACUUUUAACAACGGAUCUCUUGGUUCUGGCAUCGAUGAAGAACGCAGCGAAAUGCGAUAAGUAAUGUGAAUUGCAGAAUUCAGUGAAUCAUCGAAUCUUUGAACGCACAUUGCGCCCGCCAGCAUUCUGGCGGGCAUGCCUGUUCGAGCGUCAUUUCAACCCUCAAGCUCUGCUUGGUGUUGGGGCCCUACAGCUGAUGUAGGCCCUCAAAGGUAGUGGCGGACCCUCCCGGAGCCUCCUUUGCGUAGUAACUUUACGUCUCGCACUGGGAUCCGGAGGGACUCUUGCCGUAAAACCCCCAAUUUUCCAAAGGUUGACCUCGGAUCAGGUAGGAAUACCCGCUGAACUUAAGCAUAUCAAUAAGCGGAGGAAAAGAAACCAACAGGGAUUGCCUCAGUAACGGCGAGUG
rnacentral:rRNA from 1 species